AACCCGUACGCUUGAACUUGUGAUGAAAAUGUUCAAAACCACAAGUCGAGUGCUGCGGGUCUU
rnacentral:pre_miRNA from 1 species